rnacentral:rRNA from 1 species
AUGCGAAAGCGUGGGGAGCAAACAGGAUUAGAUACCCUGGUAGUCCACGCUGUAAACGAUGUCGAUUUGGAGUUUGUUGCCUAGAGUGAUGGGCUCCGAAGCUAACGCGAUAAAUCGACCGCUGGGGAGUACGCCCGCAAGGUUAAAACUCAAAUGAAUUGACGGGGGCCCGCACAAGCGGUGGAGCAUGUGGUUUAAUUCGAUGCAACGCGAAGAACCUUACCUGGUCUUGACAUCCAUAGAAUUCUGCAGAGAUGUGGGAGUGCCUUCGGGAACUAUGAGACAGGUGCUGCAUGGCUGUCGUCAGCUCGUGUUGUGAAAUGUUGGGUUAAGUCCCGCAACGAGCGCAACCCUUAUUCUUUGUUGCCAGCGAUUUGGUCGGGAACUCAAAGGAGACUGCCGUUGAUAAAGCGGAGGAAGGUGGGGACGACGUCAAGUCAUCAUGGCCCUUACGACCAGGGCUACACACGUGCUACAAUGGCGUAUACAAAGGGAAGCGAAGGUGCGAGCUGGAGCGGAUCUCAUAAAGUACGUCUAAGUUCGGAUUGGAGUCUGCAACUCGACUCCAUGAAGUCGGAAUCGCUAGUAAUCGUAGAUCAGAAUGCUACGGUGAAUACGUUCCCGGGCCUUGUACACACCGCCCGUCACACCAUGGGAGUGGGUUGCACCAGAAGUAGAUAGCUUAACCGCGAGGGGGGCGUUUACCACGGUGUGAUUCAUGACUGGGGUGAAGUCGUAACAAGGUAAC